GACCCGUUAGCUCAGUCGGCAGAGCUCCUGCCUUUAAGCAGGGAGUCCCGGGUUCGAGUCCCGGACGGGUCACCA
rnacentral:tRNA from 1 species